GAUGAACGCUGGCGGCGUGCCUAAUACAUGCAAGUCGAGCGAACAGACGAGGAGCUUGCUCCUCUGACGUUAGCGGCGGACGGGUGAGUAACACGUGGAUAACCUACCUAUAAGACUGGGAUAACUUCGGGAAACCGGAGCUAAUACCGGACAAUAUAUUGAACCGCAUGGUUCAAUAGUGAAAGACGGUUUUGCUGUCACUUAUAGAUGGAUCCGCGCCGCAUUAGCCAGUUGGUAAGGUAACGGCUUACCAAGGCAACGAUGCGUAGCCGACCUGAGAGGGUGAUCGGCCACACUGGAACUGAGACACGGUCCAGACUCCUACGGGAGGCAGCAGUAGGGAAUCUUCCGCAAUGGGCGAAAGCCUGACGGAGCAACGCCGCGUGAGUGAUGAAGGUCUUCGGAUCGUAAAACUCUGUUAUUAGGGAAGAACAAAUGUGUAAGUAACUAUGCACGUCUUGACGGUACCUAAUCAGAAAGCCACGGCUAACUACGUG
rnacentral:rRNA from 1 species